UUUUCAGCUCCAAUAGCGUAUAUUAAAGUUGUUGUGGUUAAAAAGCUCGUAGUUGAACCUUGGGCCUGGCCGUCCGGUCCGCCUCACCGCGUGUACUGGCUCGGCCGGGCCUUUCCCUCUGUGGAACCCCAUGCCCUUCACUGGGCGUGGCGGGGAAACAGGACUUUUACUGUGAAAAAAUUAGAGUGCUCCAGGCAGGCCUAUGCUCGAAUACAUUAGCAUGGAAUAAUAGAAUAGGACGUGUGGUUCUAUUUUGUUGGUUUCUAGGACCGCCGUAAUGAUUAAUAGGGACAGUCGGGGGCAUCAGUAUUCAAUUGUCAGAGGUGAAAUUCUUGGAUUUAUUGAAGACUAACUACUGCGAAAGCAUUUGCCAAGGAUGUUUUCAUUAAUCAGGAACGAAAGUUAGGGGAUCGAAGACGAUCAGAUACCGUCGUAGUCUUAACCAUAAACUAUGCCGACUAGGGAUCGGACGGUGUUAUUUUUUGACCCGUUCGGCACCUUACGAGAAAUCAAAGUGCUUGGGCUCCAGGGGGAGUAUGGUCGCAAGGCUGAAACUUAAAGAAAUUGACGGAAGGGCACCACCAGGGGUGGAGCCUGCGGCUUAAUUUGACUCAACACGGGGAAACUCACCAGGUCCAGACACAAUGAGGAUUGACAGAUUGAGAGCUCUUUCUUGAUUUUGUGGGUGGUGGUGCAUGGCCGUUCUUAGUUGGUGGAGUGAUUUGUCUGCUUAAUUGCGAUAACGAACGAGACCUUAACCUGCUAAAUAGCCCGUAUUGCUUUGGCAGUACGCUGGCUUCUUAGAGGGACUAUCGGCUCAAGCCGAUGGAAGUUUGAGGCAAUAACACGUCA
rnacentral:rRNA from 1 species